rnacentral:rRNA from 1 species
CCUACGGGUGGCAGCAGUCGAGAAUCAUUCACAAUGGGGGAAACCCUGAUGGUGCGACGCCGCGUGGGGGAAUGAAGGUCUUCGGAUUGUAAACCCCUGUCAUGUGGGAGCAAAUCAAAAAGAUAGUACCACAAGAGGAAGAGACGGCUAAAUCUGUGCCAGCAGCCGCGGUAAUACAGAGGUCUCAAGCGUUGUUCGGAAUCACUGGGCGUAAAGCGUGCGUAGGCGGUUUCGUAAGUCGUGUGUGAAAGGCGCGGGCUCAACCCGCGGACGGCACAUGAUACUGCGGGACUAGAGUAAGGGAGGGGGAACCGGAAUUCUCGGUGUAGCAGUGAAAUGCGUAGAUAUCGAGAGGAACACUCGUGGCGAAGGCGGGUUCCUGGACAUUAACUGACGCUGAGGCACGAAGGCCAGGGGAGCGAAAGGGAUUAGAUACCCCGGUAGUC